rnacentral:ribozyme from 2 species
GGCUUAAUGCGGCCAGAGGAAAUGGUGAUGCUUAUUACGUGCUCACCAUGAUUCUGUCUGUUGCAAGCCAGAAGAAACGCAGAGCAAGUC